GCUUUUAGCUAAAAGCUCAAUUAUGCACAAUGUACAAAACCAAGUAUAUUACUUAAAAAUUGAACAUGCCUAUAGUGAACCUCUUCUGAAGGCUAUAAAAACAAUGACUUAUACCACAAGAGUUUAGUGGUGAUGAAAACAUGUUCAUAGAGUUCAUGGAGCAACUGGAGCCAAAAUUGCAAUCUACAUCUAUAGAAAAUGUCUUAGUCAAACAAAUAGAAUUUCAUUAGUUUUCUGCAUUCCACAUAAUUUACAGAUUACUUCUCAUAUUUUACUAUAUUUUUCGAAUAAAGAACAUAGAUCUAAUGUAAGCAGAUGGUUUUACAUUAAACAACAAUGCUACAACAAUUCAUGUUUAGGUACAAUUUAUGGACAGCUAUUUACAGUGGUACUUUUUAAUAAGUUUGGAACUCCAUCACACCAUAUGAAUUAUAUAUAUGCAUUAAACAAAAAUUAUAUAUGUUACUUUUUGGAUGCGAUAACAGAAUUCUGCCAUGGAAAUAUGAAUUGUGAAGACAUAAUUAAAAUACAUAAAAUAAUAGCUAAUAAAUCUGCCCAUUUGUUAUUUAUUUAGAAAAUGCCUUUUGAUAUAUAAGUGUAUCAAAAUUUUCAUAUGAAGUCUUUGUAAUCUUUA